rnacentral:rRNA from 1 species
ACGAACGCUGGCGGCGUGCUUAACCCCUGCCAGUCGAACGGAAAAGCCUGCUUUCCCUUGUGGCUUGUGGGUACUCGAGUGGCGAACGGGCGAGUAACACGCGAGUGAUCUGCCCACAACUUGGGUAUAAGCCUGGGAACCUGGGUCUAAUUCCCGAUAGGACUGCAGGGUGGUGCCUGUGGUGGAGACCGCUCUUCUAGUGGUCGGGGAUGUGCUCGCUGGCUAUGUGCUUGUUGGUGGGGUAAUCGCUUCCCAAGGCGGCGACUGGUAGCCGGCGUGAGAGGAGGGACAGCGACAUUGAGACAGGGAUACGACCCAGACGGCAACGAGAGGCGGCGGUGGGGAAUAUUGGACAAUGGGCGGAAGCCUGAAGCGGCGACGCCGCGUGGAAGAUGACGGCGUUCUGGUUGUAAACUCCUAGCGACCAAGAGGAAGCCACCUAGUUGGAAGGGUGGUGACGGUAGUGGUAGAAGAAGCACCGGCUAACUACGUG